UACGGAAGGCAGCAGUGGGGAAUAUUGCACAAUGGGCGCAAGCCUGAUGCAGCCAUGCCGCGUGUAUGAAGAAGGCCUUCGGGUUGUAAAGUACUUUCAGUCGUGAGGAAGGUGUUAAGGUUAAUAACCUUAGCAAUUGACGUUAGCGACAGAAGAAGCACCGGCUAACUCCGUGCCAGCAGCCGCGGUAAUACGGAGGGUGCGAGCGUUAAUCGGAAUUACUGGGCGUAAAGGGCACGCAGGCGGUUAAUUAAGUUGGAUGUGAAAUCCCCGGGCUUAACCUGGGAAUGGCAUUCAAGACUGGUUAGCUAGAGUCUUGUAGAGGGGGUAGAAUUCCAUGUGUAGCGGUGAAAUGCGUAGAGAUGUGGAGGAAUACCGGUGGCGAAGGCGGCCCCUGGACAAAGACUGACGCUCAUGUGCGAAAGCGUGGGGAGCGAAAACAGGGAUUAGAUACC
rnacentral:rRNA from 1 species